rnacentral:lncRNA from 1 species
GUUGAUCCAACGACUGAGAUCAGAUCAACCCCUCUUUCCUCUUAAACCACAAAAAAAACCCUAAUCCUCAAUACACAAAAAUUUCAGCCGCAGCACAACCUUCUCUCUCAUCUCUCACUUCCUCUCUUUAUUGACAGCCACGGCCAUCACCACUCACGCCACCGGCAACGGACAACCAACAACAGCCUCCUCCUCCCUCUCAUCUUAACCUCCGUCCCCUGCCGCCAAGAGUCACCAGCCGUCCACCGGCCAACUUCCAGCACCACCAAAAAAGCCGAUAAUGGCUUUCGCUCCACUCUUUUUCCCCUUUCGACGAACCAACCACCAGCGGCCAGUGCCUUCGCCACCGGCAACCAAUAACAACCGCCAAAACAGCUCCAAAAUCAGCCGGCUACCAUGACCGGUGAACAGCGAACCGUCCCUCUCCGGCGAGUCAGCCUCCGCCGAACCAGACGCCAGACGUCCUACCGCCACAAGUCACUGCCUCCGCCGUCGAUGAAUCGCCACCAACAAACAACAUCGCAAUCCGACUAUUCCGGCCAAAUUUGUUAGAAAACAAGUAUAAAUUUCAUAAUAAAUUUUUAUAAAUCCAUCUCAGGUUUGCGUCUCUUGAUUGAAAGUUGUUUUCAUUGUCAUUUUAGUAUGAAAUUCGUGAAGUUUGUGACAUGAGCUUUACUUGAUUGUCUUAAUUUUAUGUUUAUUUAUAAUUUUUUACAUCUCCACGUGAUGAAAACUCCGAUCUGUGUGACUGUUUGCUUUGACCUUAAUUGUUAUUUGAGUUUGGAUUUUCGCCAAUAUUGAAAUUGUGAUACAAUUCAUAUUGUUGUUAUGAAUUCAACUUUACGGCGGAGUUAUUAAUGCUUUUCCCUUGAACUUGAAAUUACACAGCUUCAUGAUAUGUCAUUUGACAACUUUGAUAGUUGAUUUACCUUUACAUGUGCAAUGUAUUUUUUUGUAAAUUUUGAAUUUGAUUUUGCACAUAAUUAGAAUAAUUUGGUUAAGAAAUCUUUUAGGUACAUGAUUAGUUGCUUUACUUUAAAUCAGUUUUGUCAUAUAUGGUAAAUAUCAAAGGUUAAUGCAUCAAAACAAAACCAAGCGGUGGUUGUUUUUCCUUGGCUUAUUGAACCAGCAUAUGCCGAUUCCUCCUUUGAUGACUCCCAGUAGAGAAAGCCUAAAUUUUCCGAUGUGGAUUGAAAGGAAGCCUCCUGACUCUGUGUUUUCACAUCGAGAAUUAUUUGCAGAUGAAGAGAUGUCAAAGGGCUUCUUACUUCCCAAACAGAUCCUCCUAUGCUUACACUUUUUAUUUUAUUGAGUUAAUACAUAAAAAUGAUUCUAAACUUGAUAUCAAAUUAUAACUUUGAAAUUUGAUAGUGCACAAAUAGAACCUUUAACUAUUACAAAUAUGACCUCCGAUUUUGCAACUUCAUGCGUGAGUUUUACUUGCGCUUACGUGGAAAGGUAAUUUAAUCACACGGUGUCACGUCAUUAAAAGGACCGACUUGGAGAGAGGUCAUAUUUGUACAGUUUUGAAUAGUUAAAGGUCAUAUUUGUGUACUGUCAAAGUUUUUGCUUUUUGUGUUAAAACGAUGUCGUUUUAAUUAUUAUUAUUAUUAUUAUUAUUAUUAUAAUAAUAAUAAUAAUAAUUUUUUUAAUAUAUUUUUAGAAUAGUAGCACCUAACUUUUUUUUAAUUUAAAAAAAAUAUUAUUAAUAUUAUUAAUUUANNNNNNNNNNNNNNNNNNNNNNNNNNNNNNNNNNNNNNNNNNNNNNNNNNNNNNNNNNNNNNNNNNNNNNNNNNNNNNNNNNNNNNNNNNNNNNNNNNNNNNNNNNNNNNNNNNNNNNNNNNNNNNNNNNNNNNNNNNNNNNNNNNNNNNNNNNNNNNNNNNNNNNNNNNNNNNNNNNNNNNNNNNNNNNNNNNNNNNNNNNNNNNNNNNNNNNNNNNNNNNNNNNNNNNNNNNNNNNNNNNNNNNNNNNNNNNNNNNNNNNNNNNNNNNNNNNNNNNNNNNNNNNNNNNNNNNNNNNNNNNNNNNNNNNNNNNUCUUUAAUUUAAUAUUUAAAUAAAUAAUAUUUAGAUAUAUUAUAUAACUUAAAUUCGUCAUCUGCUUUAUAAUAUAUAUCUGCUCGAUUUUUUCGUAUGAGGUUAACUUAUACGUACAUAAAUAUAGAUUUUCUAUCUUAUAUAUAUAAUGUAAUUUUUUUACCGAGGGGGUUUGGGUAAACCCCAUGGCAACCACGUAGAUCCACCCCUCGUUAAUUUAAUAAGGUUUAAUAACAUCUUUUAAUUAAGUUAGUUUGAUAAUGUUAAUUUAAUAUUAUACUACUACUACUAUUAUCCUUAAUAACAUUAAUUUAAUAACGUUUUAUUAAAACUAUAAUUUUUUUUAUUAUUAGUAUAGUUUCAUCUAUAAUUUAAUAUAUAUUUAAAUAAAUAAUAUUUAGAUAUAUUAUACAACUUAAAUUCGUUCUCUGCUUUAUAAUAUAUAUACAUACCCGCUUGAUUUUUUCGUAUGAGGCUGACCUGCCUAAUUAAUAAAUCUUCAAUAUUGCUCUUUUUCCGCAAUGACAGAAGAAAUUAGAUUCCAUUUUCAUCUUUGAGCCGAAAUAAUGAAAAAAUAGUAGUGAAGAGUCAUUUAAAGGUCAUAUUUGUGCAGUUUUAAAUAGUUAAAGGUUAUAUGUGUGCACUGUUAAAGUUUAAGGUCAUAUUUCUGUAUUAUGCCCUUAGAUUUUAACCUGGACCCGUUCAGUUUUGCGUAUUGAACAAGCAUUUUGCCACGUAGGAUUGGAGGUCAUAUUUGUGCAGUUUUGAAUAGUUAAAAGUCAUGCACUGUCAAAGUUUAAGGUCAAAGUUAUAAUUUGAUGUCAAGUUUAGGGUCAUUUUUAUGUAUUAGCUCUAUUUUAUUUUUAAAAUAUCUUUUAAUUACCUAUUUAUGGUAAAUUUGCUUCUAAUUAAUUUAGUUUAUUUGAUUGAUGCUUUCAAUUAUCUGCUUUUCCUUUUAUUUCUGAUUUUACAUGAUUGAUUAAAUUUUUCAUUAAUGGGAAUCAAUCCUCUUAAUUGAUUUACUAAAUAUUAUUCUUCCGUUAUUGGAAUUAUUGACAACUCUUGUUAGUAUAUAAACAAACCCUCCAUUCUCUUAUUCGGCACAAGUUAGAACAUACAACUUACAAUACAUACACUCCCGGAUACGAAAAGCUUUAAGCAAACACAAGUUUUACUUUAUAUUUUGUCUUAGUUGUACUUAUUUUUCGAAGCAUUGGUCUUUAUCAAUCUUUAUUCUUUCGUGGGAAUUCACUUGAACUUUGCUCUACCUGAUUUUCUUAUUAUUGCUUGUUAUUGUGGACCGGUAAGUCCUUAUCGCCACACUUUCAUUUACACUUAAGUCAUGAUAGAAAGCAUGUCCAUAGGAAUUGUUCUGUAUUUUGUUUGCUAUGCCAUUGCUUGAUUAUUUUUAUCCACGGAAUCAUGCCACACAAUACUCUCAUUUGUCUCUUUGUAUUUGCAAUGCUGUUUUUAUUGUGUUUAACAGGUUGGGAUUUGAAGAGUCGCCCGUGGGGUUUGAGAGGGACUACAUUACUCCCUUGUAGUUUAGUUAUUUCUUUCUCUUUAUGUUGGCCUGUAAUGUUGUAUAAACGCUAUUUUAUUGUAAUAAUAAUAAUUGGGGACUGCAUGGGACGGGAUUUUACAUGCUCUAUGAAUCACGUAGGCAACAUAACUUAGGUUUAUGUAUUUAUGUGUUUUUAUGUGCUUACGUGAAUCACUCAAGCAAAUCCUUAGGAUUAAUAAUAAAUUUAUUUUACCACUUGGAAAUCGCAUCCUUGAUAGAUUUUUGACAUGACAAUUGUUUUGGGCAUAUUAAUUCAAAUUAAGUAAAAUCAACUUUUAACUUUUUUUUAUUUGCUUUUCUAUGUGUUUUCAACAUAAUAAAUUUUUCAGCAUAUAAAUAUUAAUUUCUAGCAUGUUAAUUUCAUUGUUUAGCAUAUAAUAAUUAUUUUUAGCAUGAUAAAUUAACUUUCAGCAAAUUAGAGUUACUUUUCAUCUUAUAAAAAUUCAUUUUCCUGCAUAUAAUAAUAAUUUUUCAGUAUAUUCAAGCAGGUUUUUUAGCAUCUAAAAUAAUGACUUAGGCACAUUAAAUGAGUUUUUAACUCGUAAAUGAAUUUUCAGCUUAUUGAACUAAUUUCCAACAACAUAGAGUAAUUUUCUGCACCUAAAUAAGUGAGUUUCAACAUAUUAAUUGAAUUUUCAGUAGUCUAAACUAAUUACCAACACUCUUCUAUCAAUUUACAACAUGAUUCUUUUAUAAUAAAACUAGAUGUGAAGCCCACUGUAGCACGGGCUCAAUAAUUUUGGUGUAGCUAUUAUUUGAUUGUGCGUAGAUAAAAUGGUCUUAUGAUCACGUUUAAGUUAUCCCACAAAUUUAUAAUUAGUGAAUACAUUGACAAAGAAUCAACAGAUUUAGAAAAUAAUAUAUGACAGAGGGUCAUAAACAGGCCUCAAGUAAAUAAUUUGACAGCAGUUGAUCAUGUCAAUUCAUGUGCAGAAUAAACAAAACAAGAGGUAUCAAAUAAAAAAUCAAUUUCUCUUUAUAUGUAACAGUAAAUGAGCAGAUACUAUCCCAUCUUAAUAAUUUAAAACAAAAAGAUAAUUUAAAGUGAAAGCAUUACGAACAAACAACAAAAAUUUCAACGGAAUGCCUAUUUUGUGUAGCCUAAUGUUACAAACUUUACGUCUUGUAAUCAUCUUACUCAUAGUAUAACAUUUUCUCACCAGUGGUAAAAGAUUUCGUAGGAGUUGAAAGUUGCAAAACAAUAACAACUAUACUAACAGUACAAAUAAUGGUUCUACCUGAAAAGAGCCACACUGCGUUGCUACUCGAAUUUUGUCUAACUUGGUUGCUCACUUUCACCUCCUUUAGGAGUUUUCGUAUUGCCUCGGUAUGCAUAUGUACUUGAUCAAUUUUUUUACAUGUCAAUGGGAUAUUGUUUAAUUAGUUCUUCUAGGUUUAUCGUUUAAGUACAACAUAUUCUAGUAACCAAUUAACAACAUGUAAAGAUGCUUAGUAUAUGUACUUGAUAGAGUAAUCUUUUGGUGACAGCGUGUAAAGAUGCUUAGUAUCUGUACUUGGUAGAGUAAUCUUUUGGUGCAAUAACUAAACGACGACUCUUUCUGGCACCGCGAUCCACAAUCUCAACAAUGUCCAUGAACUCCUGUUUAUCCUUAACAUUUGAUAGUUGCUACUCCUAUCCAAAUUAAUUAUCCUACAAUCAAUCGACCUAUAUCAUUUUAAUUUUUUUUUUGAUAAAAACAUUCUUUAAUAAAUUAGAGAUGCAUACCUCACUUGAGUUAGGUUCAUCAGUUUCAAGUUAUAGCUUGUUAAGACAUUUGAAGGUUAUCAUUUUCAGUAUCAGUUGUCCAAAAGUGAAAGAUUUCUAACUUAUAACAAUUCGAACUCAAUGUAAUUCUGAUGAAUAAAACAUACCUCUUAAGACUCAAAAUAUUGGCGAUCUAUGUAUUCAUUUAUGAUUUAUGAAGUGAUACAAUUCUAAAAAAAAAUCUGUUAAGAGGCCAACAGCCUGAACAAACCAAAAGCUGGUGCAUGGCUACAAUCAUCAACAAAAUCCCAGAGCUAGCCAAUUACUUAAAGAAAGUGAACUCUUUCUUCUAACCAUGGUAUCUGCACCAGUUCAAGCGCACCUCAACUAAUUUCAUGGGGUAUCUUCUACCUCCCACCAAUAUAGGUACUGGGUAGCUUUGUUAAAGGAACUCAUUUUAAAGUGGCUCACAACAUAAAAUUUGUGCCAUCUUUAUCCAGAAAAUAAAAGGUAUUAGUUAAAUUAAAUGAUGGAAAAGGACAAAUAACUCCAGCUUAGGUUUAUGCUUUAAUUAGUUGUGACAAAUCAAUAUCAAUGUACCUGUAAGCUUCAUAUAUUUAUAUAUAGUAGUUAAAUAUGUUAUUGUAGCUUACUUGUGAAAAAGAUCCGCACCAUCAACCACUCGAAUUCUUGAGUCUGAAGAUGUUAUAAGCACUUGUGACAUACUUCCUGGCACAAACUGUUCAUUAAAAAAUCAGUUAGUAAUUAAUUCACAAGGUCAAGACACAAAUUUACUUGGAUUGCUUCUUCUAUGACAAAUUUUUCCCUGCUUUUCAUUUUGAAUUGUCCCAAAUUGGUGUUCAACUUCUUAAAAGGGAGUUCUUUUUCUUAUUCUUUUCAAUAUUUUAGUAUGUAAUAUGUAUGUAAAACUCAGUUCUACACUGUGGAAAAGCAAAUAUUCUUUGAAAAUUUAGUUUUAUCUCAAAGGUAUUGAUCAAAUUCACUUAAAAUAUAAUAGCAAGAUAGACGGUUUUAGUACUUGCCUUCCUUUCAGCCGCACAAGAUGACAUCGUGGCGUGAGUUUGUGGUUUUGGAUCGUGCAUAGUGGCACCACCUUAAAACUGCAUUGAUCAUAAAACCCAUUAUAAUAUUUCUGAAUUGAUAUGAAAUAAUGAUAAAUCAUAAUUAAUUCAAAAUAGUAUGAGCAAGAAAAAAGGGAGAGUGUGUCACCUGAGGGCCACACAGUGUUCCAUGCUGUUCUUGGCCAUAUAACAAAAAAGCUCUCCAUGGUCGACGCUUGCCUAUUACGAAAGUAUACGGUGAAACAACAAUGUUAACUCAAAGAGCUAUGAACGAAAAAGACUUGUACAAAAUAUUUUCAUACAGUUAUGAACUGCUCAUCAGGAAUGUGUCACUUGUAUGAUUCUUUUCAUGAUCUUUUUAGGCGAGCUACUUUGUUCCAGCCUUUCUCUUUCUAUUUUGAAACACUUUCGGAUGCAGGAUCAUCAUUAGGACUAUCAUACUUGUCGACCAUUGAUGAACUGAUCGAAAAACCAAGCUGUGGAGAACAAAUGUCACUGAAGUUUUGUACAAUUGUCAUAUUACAUCCAGGAAGCACGGUGAAGCUUAACAAUAGCAGAAAUUUUGUGAUGAUUCAACAACUUAAAGCAUUUUAUUUUCUCGCCUUAUGGAUCAAAUGUCGCCUGAGCCACCUUUCUCCCUUCGGUUACCUUCCACCCUCUUGUUGCCUUUUUUUUCUUUUUUUUUUCUCUUUCUUUUAAGACUUUGAAGUUAUGCACAUCAAACUUUUCAAAUAGCAGCUUCUUGUAGGCACGUUCUCUUUUAUCAUGGCGUGGACUUCAUUAAAUAAUUCCCUCAGCUGCUUCUCAAGAAUAUUCAGGCUUUUAGGUACAUUCUCUUUUAAAUCUGUGUACCUGCUAAAAACACAUGCUUAGAUUGUAGUUCUUAAUGGACAUACUACACAAGCCUCCGAAAUCUAUAUACUCUAAAACUAUUGAAAUAUUUAGAAUUCAUAAGUAUUUCUUUAAAAUGAGGUGAUAGUUUAUAUGUAAAGAUUACUAAUGUAUUCCACCAAUGAAUGAGUUUAGCCAGUAGCAUCAAACUCAGACAACGCUGGUAGAUUAUUCUCCAUCUGGAGGAAAUCAUUACACCUCUUCAGAAGUGAAAUUUUAGCAGAAACAAUAAAGCUAAAUUGGUGUCAAAUUGGUUCUUAAAGGUAAUAUAUCGAUUGGAUCUUCCACAAUCAGUUUAGCAUCAUAGUAACAGAUGUUUCAUUACUUAGGAGAAUAAAACGGCUAUAAAGAUGCUUCAGCUUACCGUUAUCAGUUAAAAAAAAAACUGCUCCAACUUUAAGAACUUUGGUUCUCUAUUGUGACUUUGCUCUAUUCUCCCAUACUUGAUGUUUUUCAUGAGCCAUUAACAUCCAGAAUGAAGAGAAGCAUAUGAAAAUAGUUGUAAUUUAAAUUGAUAAAACUGCCAAACCAAAUAUAUAGAGAAUAAUUUUCAAUUUACCUUUGUUUUGUAUAUACUAAGUUUUCAUGUUAUUUCUAUUGCCAGAGAUGAAGAUUUCUUGAUAUUGACCUUCUAUUAUGAAAUAAAUUCAGCCUGAAAACAGUUGAUAAAAUUCCUGAAAGGAAAGUAAUUUACUUAGCGAUGAUCAUGUAAAGUGGAAAAAAAUCAAAAUAAUAACAAACAAUUUAUGUAGAAGUACCUGUGGUGUAGAGAUUUGCAUUGGAAACUAUUUAAUUUCACCCAAGGGUCUAUUUAGGCCAGUGCUUUUUGAAUGAUUUCGUUGUGUACUACAUUAUACGUUGAAUGAUCAUCAUUGUCAUCUAGUGUUAAUGGUCGAAUUAGCACUUUUACACUAUUGGAAAUUUUUGCUCAUGAUAGGGCUACAUAUCCAUGUGAAAAAAUAGGUUCUCGUAAAUAAAUUCUGACAAAGUCCAUAGUUUGACCUUGAGCCUUAUUUAUUGUCAUAGCAAAACAUAAUCGUAAAGGAUAUUGUGUUCUUUUGAAAGGAACAAGUACUCUUUCAUCUGCUGAUGAUAGCAACGGUAUUCUUGGAAUAAAUUCAUGUAUAUUUUUGAAGUCUCCGCUUGCAACUGUAACACUUAUAACAUGUUUUUGAAAAUUAUUGCAAAUAAGUCGAGUACCAUUGCUUAAUCCUUCACAAGGAUUUAGAUUUCUCAAUAACAUAAGAGGACAAUUUUUUUUAAUGCUAAUUUAUAGGGAGGUAAACCAGCGGGAUGUAGGGUGUGUAGAAAAUCCUCAUACUCACUUUGAUCGUUUGCUUCAAUAGUUUCAUCAAAUGUAACAUAUGUUUUAGCAUCACCAAGAAAUUGAGAUAUAAAUAAAUUAUUCAUUUCAUCAAUAAAGUCAUUUUUUGUUGUUAAAAUUACACGUGAAGUCAUGGAAGAUAUAUUAGAGGAAGAAGUAUGAAGAUCUGGAUAGGUUAUUCUAAACAAGAGAUCUAAUGUCUCAUUUUCAGAACUGAAUGGAAUAAUGAAACAAUCAGUUAUUUUAAUUUUAUCAUUGUUAUGUGUUUUUUCUAUUCCAUUUCCUAUUCUCAGUAAAUAUUCACAGAAUGUAGGGUCUUUUUUUGCUCGCAUAUUUUCAAAUAAUCGUAAUUUUUCAAGUUGAUUUCAAAUUCAGAAUAUAAUAAACUUUUCUGAAUAAAAUUAUUUUUCUUUCCACCUCGAACUACAGGGAGAGUUUGUCUAAAAUCACCACCAAAGACGAUAAUUUUUCUGCCAAAUAAAGUGUUUGUUUCCAUUAAAUCUUUCAACAAUAUAUCAAAAGCUUCAAGCGUUUUUUUUUUUGCCAUAGACACUUCAUCCUACACGAUUAAUUUUGCAUCACAAACUAAAGUUGCAAGUGAGAUUUGUUUGCUGAUGUUACACAAAAAUUUCUCAUCUAUUUCAAUAGGAAACUUAAAACGGGAGUGAGCAGUUCGACCUACUGGGAGAAUUGAAGCUGCAACACCUGAAGUUAUUGUUGCUAAAGCAACAAAACCUCUUGACUGUACAACAGCUAAUAAAGCUCAAUAUAAGAAAGUUUUUUGGUUCCUCCAGGUCCAUCAAUAAAAAAAGCUCCUGAUUUGUUGGAAAAUAUUCUAUUAAGAAUUGUGUCAUAUGUUAUUUGUUAUUGCGUAUUUAGUUUUUUCUGUAGUAGUAAAUCCUCUUCUCUAAUAAUGAUAUUUCUUUCAAAUAGGCAAUCAUUGGCUUCCCUAAUAGUUGCUGAAGCUUUUAUUUUCUCCGUAAUAAGUUUAUAUUCAUUGAUAUCAUGUCCCAGUAAAUGUAGAAACUCAUUGAUAUGAUUUAAAAUCAUAUAUCUAAUAUCUUUUGCAUUUAUGUUAGUUAACAUUUGAAAGUCUUCUGACAUUGGACUUUCGAAUUGUUUUCAAAUUUCUGCUGGGUUAGUAGGAUUACAGUAGACCAAUAAUGUUGCAAAUAAACACCGUAAACUAUAAGGAAUUUGAUAACUGACAGCUUCAGACAUACAUUCUAUCAAAUUGUUAUCACAAUGCAACAAACCUCUUUUUUCUGCAGAUUCUCUAAAUGUACUACAAUAUUUACCAUCCACCUUAAGUAAAUCUUCAGACGAUUUUGGGCCUCUGACGUUCAUCAAUAUUAAUCUAAGGUAAUAUCUUUCUCCUUCUGUUGGAUGAGAUGUCACUACACGACUAAUAACAGAACAUUAUUUUCGACGUGUCCACAUUUUACAUAUUGGUGACCAUACAAAAUAUUCAGGAAAUUCUUUAUAUAAUAACGAUAGUUUCAUAGCAUCAGGAUUCGUUUUGUUCAUAGUAAAGAAUUCAAUUAACAUUAUUUUUCCCACCAUUGAAUUAUUUAAAUCUUAUCAACUUUGUCAACACUUUUAAAAGAAACAAAUUGUUGUCCUUUCAAAUGUAAUAGUAGAUAACAUACAGCUAGAGUCAUCUCACUUAUUGGAAAUCUAAAUAAUAGCCAGGCAGCCUCAAGAGGUGAAACCCAUCUACCGGAUUGAUAUUCUUUUAUUUCAUCAACAUCUGUAUCUAUAUCACAACUAUGUAUUUGAAGAGUAAUUUUGUCAUGGACUUUACAAAUGUAUUUAUAGAUGUAUUUGACAACCUUGAUAUCAGAACAAACUUCUACAUUCACAUGACAAAUAUAUUUGCAUAACAAAAAGGGAUUAUAUGGAAUAACCCAUGAAUUGUCUAGGAGAAAGCCGUUCUUUUUUAUACAUUCUGUAGUUUGUCUUCUUUUGUAUAUUGGAUAUCCCUUUAGAUGUUUGUUCAGCAAAAUCUUUUGGAUACUUAAAUUUACAACAACCUUUUUUCUCAUGCAACUAUUUGUGGGAUUUAUUUUACCAUAAGGUCCAUGUAUCAUAUUUUUAAUAGCAAGUGACUAUAAGUUACGAUCUUUCGCAAAAUCAGGUAAUUCAGUAUAGACAAAUUUAUCAAAAGAUUCAGGAGUCAGUAAUUUGUGCUCAGUAGAAAGUAUAAUAAGGAAAUGAGCAUGAGGAAGACCACGUUUUUGAAAUUGUAUAGUAUACAUGAAAGCAACAACUUUUUCAAAAAUUUGUCUCUUCAGUAUGUCCUUUUUUAAUUCUUCUACUUUUGCUCUGAAUGUCCUACUUACCAAAUCAGGCCUGUUUUGAACCUCAUCGACAAACAUUAGGUGUUCCUUUAUUUCUGGCCAAGAUGAAUUGCAAGUCAUAGUUACAAACAAAUUAGGUUUUCCAAAAUAUUGUACUAAUGCAAUAGCAUCCAUAUAUCGUCUGCGCAUAUCUCUAGGUCCUCCUAUAAAAGUAUCAGGAAGAAAGUUUUUAUUUCCAAUUUUAGAUGCUUCUUUUUCUCUAGAUUUCAAAUAUCACGGAUUCCUUGUAAUACCUCAACUCUAAAUAAAUCUUGGUUCAACGAGAAAAAGUCUAAUUUUUGUGUUUCCAGCUUUAUAUAUACGUCUACUAUAAAUUGUUGAAAUAUUUUUCCACAAUGUAGUACCUCAUUUGUUUUAUCAUCUCUCAUUUGAAAUUUAUAACAAUAAUAUUCAUGGCAAGAUACUGUAUUCUUUUUUCGUUUUCCUUUUUUCAGUGAGGCAGCUUCCAUAUCAAGAAAUUGAUCUAUUAAAUACAUAUUUGAUACACUGGGCAAUUGCUCAUGUUCACAAUGAGCUUUACUUAUAGUCACAUUAUUUAUUCAAAUAAUUCUUUUGAUGCCGCAGUGUCAUCCAUUCUCUCCAUAUAGAAACAAUAGUGGAUACUGUAGCAGAUCAUAACAUCCAUAGUAAUAGUUUACUAAAUGAGUUCUAUUAUUGUGAGUAUAAAUUCUAAUAUAGGGUGCUGAAAUAGAAUGUGUUGAAUUUUUUCAACCCAUAUUCAUGCAAUCUUUGAGGUAGUAGGUAAGUUGUAGGUUCUUUGGUCUAAGAUUGAGUCACAUGUAAGUGCAAUAUAAAAAUUUGAUGAGUCUGGAACAUUUAGAAGAGAUCAGAGGAAAUUACUGUAUGGAUUCACUUUCAAUAUGUUCAUCAAUUUUUGUACUAUAGAUUCACUAACUUUAUUUGAGCAGGCCAUUUUGUUAGAAAGUUCAUUGUCGUUAUCAUAAAAGUAUAACUAUAAAUUUCGAGGCUUCUCAUUUGAAGGAACCAAAUCAUCUAUAAAAUGAUACAUCUUUCCUUGAACCUUGAAUGUGUAAAUACCAGAGUUUCUUUUCGCAAGCUCUUUAUCAUAUUUAACACCCAAUGAAGUAAAUGCAAACAUAUUGUUGUAUGUUCUGAUGUACGUGCGAAAAUAUUUUGAUUCUUCAAUUUUAUUAAAAUAUACUUUGAUAAUUUAGUCGGCAUUUUAUGUGAUGUUAAUCUUAUUGAACCACUACCACAAAAAAAUCCGGGAGGCUCGUAUUCAAACCUUUUUGCACCACAAUAUUGACAAUUUAAAACCCUUUUAAAGCAAUAUAUUCGAUUCGUUGUUCGGUUGUAGCUAGAUACGGCUUUUUUGUGUGUCGAUUAUCUGAAUUAAAAAGAAGUUUCAGUACAGAAAGAAGAGCAUGGAUGCAUACACAACAUAGAUGGUAUUGUACUGCAAGAUUUGUAUGAACCUUUGGUCGCAACUUUAUUUAGGACCCACCCACUUAGGUUAGAUGCGCUGGAUGUGCCUCCUUAUAUGCAAACAACUAUAUAUCACAAAUAAUAAUGCACAUAAUAAAUAUGCUGAGAGGAAAAAUGUAGUGUUGAGUCAAAGUUUACCUAUUUCGUGAAUGACAAACGGAGUGUGGAUAUCUUUUUCUUUUGCUGGAUUAUCUUGGAAUACAGUCACCCAUGGUUGAGGGCGGACAUCUGAUAACAAUAAUAGACAAGAUAUUUCAUAUGUGCCUCUUUUGCUAGUGGUAAAAGCCUAAGUACUGCACAAAUAAAAAAUAUUCCAUAUAUAAAUGUGAGUGUCAUAGUAUCACCUCUUUUAUGAAGUGGAGGCAGUUCUUGUAUGGUAAAAGUUGUUGACUCUCCUAGCCCUGGGUUGUAUCGAGAAGAUGUUGGUUGGUUUGAUGUACUUCCUGAUGUAAGAAUAAUUCUUCGUCACAAUAAAGCAAGAACAAUACAUCAAAAUGGAGGAAUGUAAUGUGAAAACGGAGCUAGCUGUUUCAUAAAUUACAAAAGGAUUGCAUAUAUGUUUUCCCUUUUCUAUAUUACUAGCUGAUGUUACCACACAUGAUUGAGGGUGAACAGCUGGAGAUAAAAACAAACGCAGUAUUUAGAAGCAUAAAUUAGUUGUCAAUAGGUGUGAUAUAAAACAAAAGACAAAUAAAAAUGACCACCGUAAUAUUACCUAUUUCAGCCGGUAGAGACAGUUCUCGCAUGGUAAGGGCACUUUGUUUUGGGAAUCCUAUUUUGCAGCAAAACGAUGUUGAUUCAUCACAGAUAACAGCAGGUGGAUUUUGAAGAAGGUUAUCCUCCGCGGAAGCUUUUUUUCUCAUACGUCGUGCCAGUAACAACUCUUCUCUUUUACCAGCAGAUACGCAGUAUAUGUAUCGCGACGCUUGAGUUGUGCCGUAGCCGUAGCUUUCAAUUUUUUUGUGUACGAAUAUUUGUUUGAUUCAUUUGAAUCCAUUACCCCUACAGAUUUGAAAUUUCAAUUUUAGUCAAUAUUUAUAGCCCAAGUCUGCAAUGGAAUACUUAAAGAAGUGCAAAAAUUAUGUUCAACAUUUUCCUACUCAAAUUAUUACUGAGAGAACAACAACAACAACAGUAAACUCAGUGUAUUCCCACAUAGUGGGGUCUGGAGAGGAAAAUUAUUACUGAGAAAGCAGGAACAAAUUAUUAAUAGCAACAAUUAAGAAAAACAAAAAUCAAACACUUGAUGAAUUAAAACCUAAAGAAACUAGUUAAUGCAAAGUCAUCUCUUUGAGGAAUUUUGUCAAACACAUAGAUGUUAAAACAGACACUAAAUUUUUUGUCCUAUAAAUUGAUACUAUCAAGAGGAAAUAAACAUAUACAAAAUGACAUGAACUCAGAGAAAUGGCUAAACCAUAAAAUCAUUAGCUCAAGUUUUUCUGAAUUCGAAACUAACCUUAGAAUAAAAAAAAUAAAGAGAUGGAUGAUGAAGGAAGCCAAGAAUUCUCAAACAGAGAUAUGGAUGAAACUGUGGGCAACAAUAUACGUGGAACAACUCAGAGAAAUGGCUAAACCAUAAAAUCAUUAGCUCAAAUUUUUCUGAAUUCGGAACUAACCUUAGAAUGAAAAAACAGAGAGAUGGAUGAUGAAGGAAGCCAAGAAUUAUCAAACAGAGAUAUGGAUGAAACUGGGGCAGCAAUAUACGUGGAAUAAUGUUAAGUAGUAUAAGAGAAUUUAUUGGACGAAAUUAUCCUCAGCUAUGUCAGGUAGGCAUGUUGACCUCCUUCCUGGUUGAGCUGUUUCACUGGCUUUUAUAGUAUAAGAGAACUAGGGUAUUGUGCUGUGCUUCGCGCGAUCAUGAAAAAUGUAUUAAUAAUUGAUUUUAUAGAUAAUUAUCUUUUUAUUAUAACGUGAGUAAUUAUAAAAUAUUGUACGACACAUUAUUAUUAUCUAAAUUUUCAUUCGAAUUAUAUUCGAUUAACCUUUUCAAAAUAUUUACAUAUAAAAAGAUUAACCUCAUUUCGUAAACGAGGUUAUUGCAAUUUUGAAAAGCGAUAUAGUAGAAGCUUUUAAGAAAAAUAAGUAAUAUAAAAUGUACAACGAAAGAACAUAAAACACUUGAUAUACAAGAAAAGUUUUGUUAAGUAUUUAGAAAUUUUAUGAAGCUAUGCACUCAGCCAAUGUAUUAGAUAAUAACAGGUUGUGCGGUCACCCUAUUGUCUCUGGUAUUCCCUGAUUGCACCAAAAAGCUAACAAAAAAGUUCCAUCUCUGCUUAAGGCUGUAUAUGUUUCUCCUUUUGCCUUUAAAAUUGGCUUGUUUCAAACAGUCAACCAAAUGGCCCGACGUUGAUGUAUGAUAUUACAUAUUGUAGAGAUUUCUUACCAAGCCUCUGAGUGUUGCAACUAUACAAGAGCUAAAUGAUGGAUUUGGGCAUGAUAAAACUCAUGUCAAGAUCUUUUUUUAUAUCCUUAUGACUAAAAAACAUGGGGCGAGUAGCAUAUCUCAUGCAAAAUUAAGUCGUUCACCUAGAUUCAUAACUUUUUCUAGCAUAUAGAAGGUAAAGCAGAGAAGUUAUUUGUAAGGGAAAUUUCCAGGAAUCUAAGAUUAUAAAUCUUGUUGUCUUUGUUUCGAGAAGUUGGCAAUAUUUUCAUAGCAAGAGACUUGUUGCAAAAUCCUUAUGUUAAAAAGCACGGGGCGAACACCAAUCCUCAUGAAAAAUAAACUCAUUCACCUAGAUUCAUAACUUGUGCUCUUAUAUCACGGUAAAUGAGAUAAGCAAUUUGUAAUGGAAGUUACCGGGGAUCCAAGAUUGUAAAUCUUGUUUUCUUUGUUCCAAAACGUGCUCUUCCUACCUCAACUGUUGUUACCUACACAAGAAAUUACAAGCAAAAAAAUAAACAACCAUAAUUUAACCUUACAGGAAAAUAAAUAUAUAAAUAAAUAAAUACAACAAAUAAUAAGAAUACCUUUUUUCUUUCUUUCUUUCCUUUUUUUCCUUUGGCUGUGUGUGUUGGGAGGGUUUAAUAAUAAGAAUACCUUCGUUCUCUCCUCUUUAUUUGUAUCUAUGAUAUAGGCAUUAGUAGUGCCAUGCUUAACAAGUUGUCUUGCAGCAUCAAACCAACAUAUCAUGAACUAAAGAUUUAGCCAAAAAAAAAACUCAAAAAGUAUAUAAAUACUGAAACACACAUGAUCCUAAAUGAUCAUAAUAACAUAUGUAAGCUUGAAAAAUGUUGCACUUGUAGGGUUUCUUUAACAUCACAUUUAAAUGUCAAUCAAAGAAGAAAUUAUGUCAAAUACCUUGUUUCAUCAUCGUUAACUUCUCACAAAAAAUAAAAAAUCUUCGACAAAUGAUCAAUAAUGAUAUAGUUCCAUUAGGAUGACACAUAAGCAAAAAAUACCUGCAACUUUGGGUGAAGUGCCUCUAGUGGACCUUUGGGCUUCUUGUCUGCACCUUGCUAUGAUCAUUAAUCAUCAAAAAGGUUUAGGUGAUCAUCCUAUUAAUAUAAUCUAUGUUGGUCGGAUUCAUAAAAAAUAUCAAAUGGGUGCGUGUCAGAUUUAUUAAAAAUUCAUAAACAAAGAUACAUAAAUUGUAACUAUGUAAAACUGAAAUAACCAUCGAUCAAGCAUCGACAUAGACAAUACCUGUUAAAAAAUGAUGUUAUGCACCAUCAAGAAUUCAAUUUUUGAACCCAAAUCUUAACUUGUCAGGACACUGAAUCUGUUACUUGAGAUCAAUGGGGAGAAAAAGUUUAUGUUAUCUUUCUCAUUUUCAGUUUGUAUGAUCUUUCAACCUGUUGUUAUCAUAAGGCCUCAAAGAGCAAAAAAGACCUUUACAAGAGCCCAGUCAGCAGAAUAAAAAAAAGCACGUUAGGUAAUUUGAAAGACAGGAGAAGCUAGAAGUUGUAAAACAGCAGAUAAACAAGACAAAAUGAAAGAUUGUAACAUUUGAAUUAAUAUGGAAUGUGAAAUGUGUAACAUGUGUAACAGUCAGUCCUUAUUGGACUGUUUCUCUAAUAAAUGUGCUAUCUUAAUUUUUUCACCAAAAAAAUGAGUAAAAAAUUCUAAAAAAGUGAGAAAAAAAAAGAUAAAUACAAAUAUUGGCCUGGUAGACAUGCCACAUCAGCAGAUUAACAAGGAUUAAUCUCCUACAUAUUUACUUUGUUUUGACAUAGUUUAUUUUAACAACUUUAUAAUAUUAUUUUUUGAAUGAUUUGACAGUUAUUUUCCAUCAAUAAACAGUUAUUUUUCACUUAGACAUCAUGCUUGACUCUCUUUUACAUAAUAAAUUAACGUUCUUAUUCUCUCACAUUUUUUAACUUUGACACGCUCUUUUAACAAAUUGGUAACACAUUGUUUAGACAUGAAUAACAAUUAUCUUUUUUCAUAUUAAAAAACUAUUAACGCCUAGAUAUCAUGCCUACAUGAUUAAUUAUAUUAACAUGAAUAAUUAUUUGUCUCUGCAUGUUAAUCACAUUAAUCAACUCUUUAAUAACCAAGAGGCUAACUUGGGAUCAUUAUGUGCUAAGUGACGCCCAAUGUGUUAUGCGUUUUCAGUCUUAGGAAACAUAGCUUUGUUUUAUCUAGACCACAAAACCAAAAUAGCAAAGUUCAAUGACUCUUAGACAAUAGAUGGGACGAUAGAUAUUACUAAAGACGUUAGUUUUAUCCUUAUCUUAGAACACCUUUAAAUUUAAAAACUAGGCUAGGUGGGGUGGAAUGGGUAGUCAUUCAGAAGUGAUGAUCUUCAGAGACAUUAAACGAUAUUCAACAUUGUUAAUUGUUUAAGAAUUCGGCUAGUAGGUCAAAUAAGGAUUAAACAAGUUAGGCUUCUGAUCCGAAUGAAACCAAAACUUUCCUUUGUUUUUUUUUUCAAAUUUGUUCUUUUAUUUACUUUACAUGUUCAUUUAUUUGGAGUAGUUAGUUUAUUACAUAAGCAGUCCCCUUUGUUGUAAUUUAUGUCAUUUCUCUCUCCUCGUUUGUCUUAUUUACUUAUUUUAUUGACUUUAUCACUUAGAUAAUUAAUAGCUAAAACAAUUAAGUUAGAUGUUUAUUUAUUAAUUAUUUUAUCACUUAAGUUAAUAAAAAUGCGAUCCUUAUUUGAUCACGUAGAAUCCCCACGUAAAAUACGAAUUUAGCUGGGAAUCACCUUUGUGGAUCUCAAAAGGGACCUAAUACCUUUCUUUCGAGGUAAUUUGAAUCCUUACCUAAAUUUCUGGUGAACUAGGACUAAAUAAAAAUAUAGGUUCGUAGUUAGCCUAGACCAGUGCCCUAACGCACCUUAAUACGUUAGGUGGAAACUCUUCACAUUCCCUUCAAAACAAUCUCAAAAAGAGUGAUGACGUUGAAUACCUCUUUUUGGGAGAAAAUGGGGUGCGAUAGAAUGACGACUCUGCUGGGGAUAUUGGGUUCUAACUAUUACGAAUUUGUGCUUUAUAUAGGAUUCUCUCUAUGUGUUUUUAUGUUUGUGUAAUAAUGUGUAAUAAUGCGGAAAGUGAGGUUGAGAUGGUUUGGUCAUGUGAUGAGGAGGGGCACAGAUGCCCCAGUUCGUAGGUGUGAGAGAUUAGAGUUAGAUGGUUUCAAGCGGGGUAGGGGUAGACCAAAGAAAUACUGGAGAGAAGUGAUUAGACGUGACAUAGAGCAGUUACGUCUUACUAAGGACAUGACCCUAGAUAGAAAGGUUUGGAGGAAAAAUACUAGGAUAGAGGGAUAAGGUGGGUGGAUGAAUCGUAGUCCGUAGUUAAAAGGGUUUUGGUGUCUUUUGUUUGGUAUUGUACAUUACUUUUGUGGAUGUUGUAUCUAUGUUAGUUUUAUCAUAUUUCAUGCUUUGAAUAUUUUUGUAUAUUGUCCUGUGUCUUGAGCCGGGAGUCUAUCGAAAAUAGCCUCUCUACUUCUUUAGAGGUACUGGUAUAGACUACGUACACUCUACCCUUCCCAUACCCCACUAGGUGGGAAUAUACUGGGUUUGUUGUUGUUGUUGUCUUCUUUUAUUGUUUAUUUACCUCAUGAUUUAUUAGUCUUUUCUCCUUUUCCCCUUUUUAUGUGUUCUUCAUAUAUCUCUAUGUCUAUCCCUUUCCUUUUUACCCCUUUUAUUACUUAUGUGUUAUCAUGUUAUUUGUAUAUUGCUUAGCAUUUCAUUUUUGCUAUGUUCUAUGUGUUACUGCUUUAUAUAACUAGCAUUCCGCUCAUAUUUUCCUUCACUUGAAACCUCCUUUAUUUUCUUUUACGAAUAGUUGCAUGGUUGCAUGGAUGUUCUAACCUAAAAUAUCCUUUGAGAAAUGCCUUGUGGAUCGGUCGAUCAGCGGUGCAUCAACAGUCAUAAGCUUUCUCACUCUCGAGUUGUCCACUCGAGAGAACCAUGUCAUAAACCCACUCUUGUCCUUUAGAUCGUGGCUACCUAUUUAUUUUAUUAAGGAAUAUGCAUCCCACUUAACUUAGGAUGCCUUGGCAUCCUUGAUAUGCUCAAUGUUAGUCUCAUUCAAAGUCCAAAGAGGUUCACGACCUCAAAAGGACGCACAAUUAUUUGCUAUGUGUUGAAUUUCUAUGUAUGUAAUAUCUAUCUUGUUGUUUAGUUAUUGUCUUAGUCAUUCCUUGCUCUUAGUGUCCCUCAAUUCAGAGCUCUUUACUCUUAACAUUUUUGUCAUGUUAGGGCCCUACAAUGCACUCUUAGGGUCUAUUCAAAAGCUUCCCUUCAAUCUACCCUUCUGACUCAUCCAUUAGUAUGCUAAUCAUCCUUAGGCUUAACUCUCGCUUUGUUAUAGGGUUUUAGUCUCAUUUGUUAUCUUUUAGUACAACUUAUCAUUUUAGGACAUUCUUUUCCUAAUACUUCUAACGCUUACAUAUAUUGUCCUACUACGAUUGUUAGACAUUAAUACCAUCAUAUUUAUGGCAUACUCUAGCUUUCACAAUCUCUAAGUUGCAUAGAGCUCUUAUAACUUCUAUUCACUCUGAAUGAGCAUAACUCAUUAUUUUCGAAUGAGUAAAAUAUCCAUCCUAGACUCCCGUGCAUACUCUUUGUUUCUAAUCAUAAAUAAUACUUGUUUCUAAUCAUAGCGAUCAUGAGCAUGAGACUUUAGGGUGGCUUCAUAACAAAGUUAUUUCAAACAUCAGAAGGAUGGAAGGAAGAAUAGAGAGAAUUAGGGGAAUAAUGACUGAUCUCCGAGCUUCAGCUGAGAUGCCACCGAUUUUUCAGUACCAUUAUUUGAAGCUGAUUUCAUUGCUCCCACCUACACCAUGUUGCCUCCUAUAUUGAUGACCUCACCUACGCCUGAUCGUGAGGCGCAAUCUUCUUCAAGUCGGUAUUUAGUUGCACUGCAAAAAACACUCAAUGGAUUGACAACUAUGGCAAGAAGAAGAAACUAAAAUACAAAUUCCUAACCAUAAGGCAAGGUCAUCUCAACAGCCUGAGAUGAAAAAGUCUCCCAAAGCUAAGGAAGAAGACAAGGACAAAAUUGAGGACUCGAACUUUCCAUUAUAUGAUGGAUUUGGAAACCCGCAUUCCCAUUUGAAGGCCUACCUUGACGAACUAGCGAUCAUAGGGCAAAGCGAUGAUCUUAAGAGGAAGCUUUUUGUCAGUUCACUUAAAGGUCCAGCAUUAAUAUGGUGCGUAGAGAAAGACACUUGCAAGUGGGCCUCUUAGGACCAUCUGGCAAACGACUUUAUUAGGCGGUUCGAUAAUAAGCUUAAGAGGAAGCUCAAAAUCGAGACUGAUUUAGUCGAGUCAUAGUCUAAAGACAAGGGGAAGACGAUCAUUGACGAGACAUCCAAAGCCUGAAGUAAGUAUAUUUCAACCUCAACUAAUAAAGUACCCAGCUCUAGAAAUCAUCCCAACAUCCAAUCAUGUCCAAGCCUAUUAUCCCCAGUCCUUCACAAAACCUCCUCCACAGACUGUUUGGUACCCAUCUCCAUUUGUUGCUCUAAUAUUAAAAUACCUUCUAAUGUCUUAUCAAAAUCCACCAACAACCCAAAAAUUCAACCAAUCCUACCAAACCUAAACAUAAGUUUCAGAAAGAUCCACCGAAAUAGUACACUCCUCUAAAUGAACCCAUAGAACAAUUAUAUGAACGACUCAAGAAGGCGGACUACCUCACGCCCAUUGUUGUCGUACCUUGUGAUCCUAAGUCUCGAUGGUAUCUUCCUGAUCAAUUUUCUCUUAUCACUCUGGGAUGAGAGGAAAUCCCACUAAGGCGUGCUUUGCCUUGAAUAACAUGAUCCAAAAGUUGAUUGAUGCCAAAGUGAUAAAUGUAACGGGGUCAAAUUUUGAUGAGGAUUGAUUUUCUAAGCUUCACUUGCACUUAUUGACAAUGGUGAAGAGUAUUUCAUGUUUAUUCUUCGCUCCAGGCUCUCAGACAUUUGAAAUUCCUUCAAAUUUUACAAUUUGCAUUUUUCUUUCAUGUUUUCUUUGCUAAUGUAAUUUGAACUACAAUUGACCUGAUUCCCCUAUGGAUAUGUAGGCGCUCAUUUAACGAGUUAGGUCUCACCAUAAUAAAACUGUCUUUUCCCUACUUUAUCAUUUUUGUGUAUGGAGUUGGAUGAAUCAACAAUAUGAUAUGAAUCAACAAAUCUAAUGUUCAAUAAAAAAGUCGACCUUGUUCAUUUCCUGGCUUACUAUCUUCUUUACAAUUGCAAUUUCAAAUUCAACAUCAUGCUCUAUCACUGUCCUUUUUUGUGCGUUCGAAGCUCAAAUCUUUACGCCUAGAACAAUUAUCAAGUCCUAGCCUUCAUCCUAGAUUGCCUUUGUUUUACAUUUAUUAUGUUUUGAACUUAUAUGUACUAUAUUGUGACUUUCGUUUGGCCUUGUUUAUUUUGUCUAAAGGUUGUCUAGCAUUUGAACAUCGAUCUUAAUUAUAUCUGUAAUAUGAUAAAUAUACUAAAUAUUCGAAAAGACUCCAUCCCUCUUUCUUUUUGCCUAAGACAAAACAUCGUACCUCCAUGUCCUCGCCUUACUCAUACACCUUCUAAAAAAUUUCCUUCUACCUAUGGGAGAGUUGAUUUAGAUGCACGUCAUCGAAGGCUUCAUGACAUAGAGAAAAUAUUGGAUGAGAAACUGUGUUCUAAAGAAAUUUACGACCCGAGGUAUGAGAAACUGUGUCUACAUCCAAAAGUAAAUUUACCUCCAGGAUACAUAGUUCCAAAGUUUAAUAGGUUUGAUAGGCGUGGAGAUCUAAUCACACAUUUAAUGGACUAUCAUGGAAGACUAGUUGGCAUAGGACAUAAUGAGGUCCUUCUGAUGAGAUUAUUUAUUCAAAACAUAUCAGGAAUGACACUCACUUGGUUCGCCCAACAAGAUUUCGACAAAUGGUGUAAUUGGGAAGAAUUGGCUCAAGACUUUGUAAGGCAAUAUAAGUUUAAUAUCAACACCGGUCCAACAAUGUGGGAUUUUCUUGAGGUAAAAAGAAUGGACCAUGAAUCUUUUGAGGAAUAUGCAAUACGGUGGCGAUUGGAAGCUUCUAAGAUACGUUCUUUUGUGCCUGAUGAGGAUUUGGUCCAAAUUUUCCUCAAAUCAAUAGAGGGAAUCUACUUUCAAAAAAUAUUCUUCCUAAUCAGUCACAGUUUUGAGAGUCUAGUUUCAAUUGGAAAGAAAUUAGAAUAUGAAAUUCAAGCGAGGAGAAUUAUUAAUGUUUCUACAAAGAUGGCCACUUUUCAAUUUCUGCAAAGAUGGCCACCUUUCGAAUACCAAAGAGUCCAUUCGAUGAAGGAGAAUAGAAUUCAUCACCCUCCACACCUCAGACACAAAGCUAUCAGAAUAACGAAGGGAUUCAUGUUAUCGUUAGUUCUCGUGUGUUACAUAUUGAACCUUAUGACUCAUAAGAUUCUCAAAGAAAGGCUUUUCAAAUCCAACCCUACUCUUUCCAGCAAGGUUUUUAAAAUGAUGCUUCUCAAACGCAACCCAACUUUCAACAAGGACCUUAUCUAGUACACAAUGGUUUCCAACAAUCAGAGAGAGUGAGGUCUCGAUAUUUUACUCCUUUGACUGAGCCCUUGGUGAACAUAUUUGAAAGAUUAAGGGCCCAAGGUAUAGUGGAACCAAGGAGAGGAUGUAUCCUUUUACAUCUAUCCCUCAUUUUGACCCAUCUAAAACCUGUGCUUAGACCCAUAUAAAACCUGUGCUUAUCACUCAAAAAUUCAAGGUCAUGAUAUUGAGGAAUGCUCGGCGCUAAGGUACAAGAUUCAGAAUCUGAUUGAAAAGAAAAGGAUAAAAGUACGACGAGACCCAAUAAGAAAUGAUCUUGUUACUAUGGGUGAUAUAUUUGUUCAAGGAGAUCUGACAAAAGUAUUUUCAAGACUUUUAUGAAAGAAGCGUAAAGCACAUCAAAUGAAUUGACGUGCAAACAUUUCCUAUUUUCCUUCUUUGAUCCUUCUUAUGAACAAUAAAAUUUUCUCGUUUACAUUUCUUUGUACUCAUGAACUUCGUUCAACCUGACUUCCAUUUGGAUACGUAGCCCACCCACUCUGGGUCCAGUCUGUAUCUAAUAAAACAUUUUCUUUCCACUCUCUUUCAAUUUCUCACACAUCCAAAGUGACAGGCUAAUAGGCCAAAAUCUUGGGCAUAUAAAGGCAUAUUAUAAUUGAGGUCUCGAUGUUCAAAUGUGGGACAACCAUUUCUCUUGGACUAAUGUUUUCUUAGAGUGGUACAGGAAUAUGAGACUCCAAAGAUAAAAAUGGGUAGAAUUUUUGAGGUUUAAAAAAAAACUCAAAAAAUUUCACAAAUAAACAAUACCUCAAUUCAUAAUGACGUGCGAACGACACCUCUCAUUCUAAACUGGGGCAAAAAUUUUGAGAAUUUCUCAAAAAUUUUACCAUGAUGAAGUACAAGUCCCAACGGUCCAUGAAGCAGAAACAAAGACCAAGGAGUCAAAUCGAGCAAGGUACGAAUCAAUAUUUCUUUCAACUGAUGAUUUUUCAUUGAGUGCAGACAACAUGUACUAAAUGCAACAACGAUGUUGUGAUAUCAUCGAAGAGGCAAGGAUUACAUCCCCAAUAAAGGAAAUGAGAUAAGUUAUUUUAUCUCUUAACUUUGACAAUAUUCAAUUUGAUAUUAUGUUAUUAAACAAUAUUGGGUUUCUGUAGAACCUUAAUCAGUAAUAUUGGGUUCCUGCAGAACCUUAUUGAACAAUAUUGGGUUCCUAUAGAACCUUAAUCAAUAAUAUUGGGUUCCUAUAAAACCUUAAUCACUAACAUGGGUUCCUGUAGAACCUUAAUUAACAAUAUUAGGUUCCUGUAGAACCUUAAUCAACAAUAUUGGGUUCCUGUAGAACCUUAAUCAAUGACAUGGGUUCCUAUAGAACCUUAAUCAAUAAUAUUGGGUUCCUGUAGAACCUUAAUCAACAAUAUUGGGUUCUUGUAGAACCUUAAUCACAAUAUUGGGUUUCUAUCAAACCUUAAUCACAUUAUUAGGUUCCUGCAGAACCUUAAUCAAUAACAUGGAUUCCUGUAGAACCUUAUUCAACAAUAUUGGGUUCAUGUAGAACCUUAUUCAAUGAUAUUGAGUUCUUUUAGAACCUUAGUCAAUAACAUGGGUUCUUGGAGAACCUUAAUCAACAAUAUCAAAUUCCUGUAGAACCUUAUUAAACAAUCUUGGAUUCCUGUAGAACCUUAGUAAUAUGGGAUUUCUGUAGAACCUCCCACAAUAUUGGGUUCCUGUAGAACCUUAUUAAAUAAUCUUGGGUUCCUAUAGAACCUUAGUAAUAUGGGGUUUCUAUUGAACCUCCCAUAAUAUUGGUUCUUGUAGAACUUUAUUAAACAAUCUUGGGUUUCUGUAGAACCUUAGUAAUAUUGGGUUCCUGUCGAACCUUAAUCCACAAUAUUGGAUUGUCGUAUAACCUUAAUCAACAAUGUUGAGUUCCUAUAGAAACUUAAUAGACAACAUUGGGUUCCCAUAGAACCUUAAUUGAACAAUAUUAGUUUCUUGAAACCUUACAUUUUUCAUGCCCUAAAUCGCAUUCACAUUCGAUCUCUCAAAACCUUUCCAAUCUUGUCUAUUCAGGACAUCAUUAUUCAAAUCCUACCUCUUAUUUUCACACUUCUUCUUACAUAACUCUUCAAUCCCAUUCACUUCCAUCACAACAACCCACGAUAUCAUAGAUAAUGCCCCUACCUUUAUCAUUAACAAUCUUUAGGAAUAUUGUUCAUUCCUAAAUCUAGAACUACAAACGGCUUAAUUCUCGUAAAACUGGAGAUAUGUACGCGACUUGAAACUGAAGUCUCGGCCACACUAUUUUUAAAACCACCUCCUGUUGAUUUAAUUUUAACGAAUCUUUCUCGGUCGGACAAAAUUGACUACUACGUCAACUUUCAUUGUUUGACAAUUCUUUUAUCAUUCCCAAGCAAUAAAGGGGCAGCUGUUGACACCCAAUUUUGACCGUCCGAUACUUCUUUUAGGCUGCUAUUUUAGCAAAAUUAUUAAUUUCAAAUGUUAGCAUUUUUUACACAUUAUUUUCGUAUCGAACAAAUAUUAACAUGUCACAUUUAUGAUUUAAAAAGUAUAAAAAUUAUUUUAUUAUCAUUUUUUAUAAUUUAUUAAUUCAAAUACGACAUUUUACAUAAUUUUAUUGAAUUAUUUUUUUUCAUAAAUGCGUACACUCACAAUUCACAAAUAUAUUUUCUAUUAUUAUUAUAUUUACUACUAUUGUUAUUGCUAUUGUUAUUAUUAUCAAUAAUUUUAUAAUAAUUUUGAAGUAACAUUAAUUUAUUUUAAUAGGACGACUCAUUAUUAUUAUGAUUAUUAUUAUUGAACUAGCAGUCACUUUUAUCCAAGUUUCCUUUCUUGUGUUUAAUUUCUAGCCAAUUUUUAUGCCAACUGAUCUCAAUUUUAGCAAAAAUUGAAUAUCAAUUAGGAUCCCAAUUUAAAUCCCAAUUUAUGACCUAUUUUUAAAUGCUUUAAUCUCAGUCGUUGAUCAAAGUUGAUCUAACAACUGAGAUCAGAUCAACCACUCUUUCUUCUUAAACUACAAAAGAAAACCCUAAUCCUCAUUACAUAAAAAUUUCAGCCGUAGCACAACCUUCUCUCUGAUCUCUCACUUUCUCUCUCUAUUGACAGCCAUGGCCAUCACCACUCACCCCACCAGUGACGGACAACCAGCAAUAUCCUCCUCAUCCCUCUCGUCUUUACCUCCGUCCCUUGCUACCAAGCGUCACUAGCCAUCCACCGGACAACUUCUAGCACCACCAAAAAAGCCGAUAAUGGCUUCCGCUCUACUCUUUUUCCCAUUUUGACAAACCAAACACCAGCUUCCAGUGCCGCCACCACUGGCAACCAAUAAGAACUGCCAAAACAGCUCCAAAAUCAGCCGGCUACCAUGGCCGAUGAACGGCGAACCGUACCUAUCC